rnacentral:tRNA from 1 species
CCUGGUGGCUCAGUGGUAAAGAAUCUGCCUGUAAUGCAGGAGUUCCUGGUUCAAUCCCUGGGUCAGGA